UAAAGCAGCAGUUACUGGAGAUACGUAAGUCUUGACAUUGUCUGAUGUUGUUUUACAAUUGGAGGUAACUGGCACUAACAGAAUCUAAAAUGGAAUUUUGAAUAAGAGAAAUUAGAAUUAGAAUGGCAAUUGCCUCUGAAGAGAAUGAUGGUUCUUUAGUAUGUGCAAGGGCUAGGGUGAUUGAAGAUGUAAGCAUCUCUUUCUGCACCUAUGCAUGGUUAUCAACUGUUACUGAAGGAAAAGAUGCUGAGUGUCCCUAGUCUAUUUUUUGGAUGAAUCCUCUCUUUCUAUAUGAUAGGAGGCAUUAUUCCUUCCAACCAUGUCAGAUGUCCUAUUGCUAAUUAGUCACUAUUUCUAACUUGUUAAGUAAUGAGCUUUUGUUUCAAGGAAGGGGAAAUCCCUAGAAGGGCUGCAAUAAUCUUGUCAACCCUGUCAAAUAUA
rnacentral:misc_RNA from 1 species